GGGUGUGUGGCAGAGCGGUUGAAUGCGCCUGACUGUAAAUCAGGUCUCACAAGGCACGGUGGUUCGAAUCCAUCCGCACCCACCA
rnacentral:tRNA from 1 species